rnacentral:rRNA from 2 species
UACGAAGGGACCUAGCGUAGUUCGGAAUUACUGGGCUUAAAGAGUUCGUAGGUGGUUGAAAAAGUUAGUGGUGAAAUCCCAGAGCUUAACUCUGGAACUGCCAUUAAAACUUUUCAGCUAGAGUAUGAUAGAGGAAAGCAGAAUUUCUAGUGUAGAGGUGAAAUUCGUAGAUAUUAGAAAGAAUACCAAUUGCGAAGGCAGCUUUCUGGAUCAUUACUGACACUGAGGAACGAAAGCAUGGGUAGCGAAGAGG